UGCGAGAAAUGACCAGUUACCUUUGCUAGUUCAUCGUAUGAAUAUGACUUUGGCCCAAUACCGUCAUAAUUCUCAGAUGCAGAUGAAGAUGAACCAGAUUCAUUCGGAUCUGUGCUUAGUGACCAUAGAAUAAACAACAUGCCUCAAUUAGUUGAUGAAAUGAAAUGAAAGCUCUAUGAAACUAUUACUAUUUGGUUCCACAGUUUCAGCUACAACAAUUAAUACCUCUAGUAUCCAUCCGGCGAUCUGCCCCGUUCAGCCCCAAGCUAGAGGUCGUCAGAAGUUGCAGACUUAUGCAACCACGACUCGAGCUUUCUUGCACGUAUAUUCAGUGUGAAUGAAUGAUCAGAGAUAGAGAGGAAAGGGUGAUGGAAAGACGGUAGGUAACUUUAGCAUUCAGACCUUCGUUUUCCUUUAAUAUAUAUAUAUAUAUAUAUAUAUAUAAUGUUGAAGUUGGCGUAGAAUGGGCAGCAUGUGGCCUCCAGCGGCGAGUCAAUGUCAUUUUGUGCAAUGCAUAUAAAUUUAUUAAUGAGUUUCUUUUUAUUAAUGCGCAGCAUGUGG
rnacentral:lncRNA from 1 species